rnacentral:rRNA from 1 species
UACGUAGGGUGCGAGCGUUGUCCGGAAUUAUUGGGCGUAAAGGGCUCGUAGGCGGUUUGUCGCGUCGGGAGUGAAAACCAGGUGCUUAACACCUGGCUUGCUUUCGAUACGGGCAGACUAGAGGUAUUCAGGGGAGAACGGAAUUCCUGGUGUAGCGGUGAAAUGCGCAGAUAUCAGGAGGAACACCGGUGGCGAAGGCGAGUCCCUGGACGAUACCUGACACUGAGGCACGAAAGCUAGGGGAGCAAACAGG